GACGAACGCUGGCGGCGUGCCUAAUACAUGCAAGUCGAACGCUGAAGUGAGGAGCUUGCUCUUCUUGGAUGAGUUGCGAACGGGUGAGUAACGCGUAGGUAACCUGCCUUGUAGCGGGGGAUAACUAUUGGAAACGAUAGCUAAUACCGCAUAACAAUGGAUGACACAUGUCAUUUAUUUGAAAGGGGCAAUUGCUCCACUACAAGAUGGACCUGCGUUGUAUUAGCUAGUAGGUGAGGUAAUGGCUCACCUAGGCGACGAUACAUAGCCGACCUGAGAGGGUGAUCGGCCACACUGGGACUGAGACACGGCCCAGGCUCCUACGGGAGGCAGCAGUAGGGAAUCUUCGGCAAUGGGGGCAACCCUGACCGAGCAACGCCGGGUGAGUGAAGAAGGGUUUCGGAUCGUAAAGCUCUGUUGUAAGUCAAGAACGGGUGUGAGAGUGGAAAGUUCACACUGUGACGGUAGCUGAUCAGAAAGGGACGGCUAACUACGUG
rnacentral:rRNA from 1 species